CUAAACCCUAAACCCUAACAAAUUGGAAAAAUACAGAGAAGCUUAGCAUGGCCCCUGCGCAAGGAUGACAUGCACAAAUCGAGAAAAGGUUCCAAAUUUU
rfam:Volvox carteri f. nagariensis unplaced genomic scaffold VOLCAscaffold_12, whole genome shotgun sequence.